rnacentral:tRNA from 1 species
GGAUUGUGGCUCAGUGGUAGAGCACUAGCCUAGCACGUGCGAAGCCCAGGGUUUGAUCCUCAGCACCA